GAGGUUUAGGUUACAUAAGACCAAGAGCCUUCAAAGCUCUAAGCAAGUUAAAUUACUUAACCUCUG
rnacentral:tRNA from 1 species